rnacentral:lncRNA from 1 species
CUCGACUCAAUUCAAGCUUUUAACGAAUCAAAAUACAGAGUACAUCAAAUUUAACCACAGAAGAACAGAUGAGAAACACAUAAUGUUAUAGCUACUUGUACAAUAUCAUUAAAAGUUGUACACUGUUCAAGAUUUGUCAAACCAUACAAAAACUGCAAAAUCUUCUUUGACAUAACAAGAAAUUCAUUCUUUACUUUCUUUGGCCAUCUCCAACACCAGAUUAUCACGCGAAAAUAUCCUCAACAAGCCCGAUUAUAACCAAUUUUUUUAUAUGCUAGCCUGCAGUUCAUUAAAAAGCGUAUCUGCAGCUGCUUCUUCAUAAUCACCCUCGCUUUCAUUAACCUUCUGCGGUUCAUUUUCAGGUUUUGAUUGUUUAUAAAAAGGCAAAUACGACAUAUAAACAUCAUCUUCAACAACACGCGCUUUUCUCAACACCUCAAACACCGCCUCCUUGCUUUCUUCAUCGUUUUCGCGUUCACAAAUGUUAUACAAAGCCGCAAUAUUCACGGGUUUUGGUCUCCAAAAGCCUGACCCUUCAUUUGAUAACGCUUUCUCAAAGCACGAUAAUGCAUCGGAAACCCGGUUUUCUUUAAUAUAACCUUCCGCAACAAUCUCCCAAGUAGUUGAAUUCGAUUUUCCAACUUUCAACAUUUCUUUGAGAAACGUUUCGGCUUUUUCGACAAACCCGUUUCUAAUAUACCAACCCAAUAAAAGAUUACCGAGUCGGGGGUCAUAAGAUGACUGUAUCGAAACCCAUUCUUCAUAAAGAAACUCGCUUUCUUCGAUAUCGUCCAUCCUGAUGAACGAAGAGAUAGCGGCAUGAUAAGCCAAAUUCGGUAUAUACGGAAAGAUCGUUUUGUACGAUUCCCAAAUCCUUUGAACUUCUUCUUUCUUACCGAUGCUACCAUAAUGACUUAAAAGAUAAUGAUACGGAAUUCGAUCGCGUCCCGUGAUUAGGGUUUCGAUUUUUCUAAGACAAUCUUCGGCUUUUUCGAAAUCUCCAUUCUUGAUAUAAAAAGUAGCCAUCGUGCUAUACGUAGUCCAGUUCGGAUUAACCGACCCGUCAAGUUUCAUUUUUUCAAAUGCUUCUUCCAUCUUUUCGAUAGAUCCUUGAGACCCGCGUGAAGAAAUCAAAAUAUUAUACGAAUAUAAAUCCAAAUCUAUGUUGGUUUGUGUCAUUUCAGAAACUAAAGAUUCCACUCUUUCUUGAUCCUUAAGGUUCAUGUAAAGAGUCAUCAUGACGUUAAACGGAAGCGCGUGACUAGCGUAGCCUUUGUUUUUCAUUUCGACUAACAAAGACUCGGCCUUUUCUACCGUUCUAGCGCGUACGUAAGCGUUUAAGAGGGCCCCGUAAGUACGUUUGUCCACUAAAUUGUUGGGCAAACUUUUGAAGUAAUCUUCGGCACCUGAAAUGCCGUGUACUUUAGAAACUAGAUCUAGUUGAAUUGCAGCAUCACUUGAGGAUAUUGUAUAGCUCUCGGGUUUGUUAUUCAUCCACAUGUAAAUCUGCGGCAAGCUUAUGACGACCAAACUUCCUCAUUUCUUUGACAAUUCUACAAAGCUCCCAUUUGGUAACUUUCCUGCCUUCAUUCUCCCACUGAUCCAACACCUCAGUGGCCCCUUUUUCAGGAUUACCCAUCAAUGAAAUCCGCUUGUAAAUAGCUUUCCAAGUGACUGUUGUUGCAGGCUUGUUCUCAUAGUCCACUGUGCCAUAGCUGUGCACAUUUGAAAAAGAAGAUGAUGAUGAACGGUUUUUGAUAAUGAAUUGGGACUUUUUGAGGGGUGAUAUUCGAGACCCAUGAAGGAAAUUGAGAGAAUUGCAGAGGUAAGAUGAUGAUGAUGAUAAUAGAGAUACAGGUUGUGGGUGUGACGGAGGUUGGGAAAUUGGUUUCUGGAGCAGCAUUUUUUUUGUCAAGAAAUUGUUGGGUUGAUUAGGGUUUUAGGAGUUGAUUCAGUAGAAACAAGAUAAGAGUGGUUUUGUCAUGUUAACUUGUUUGAUUCACUACGAUAUCGAUACGAGUAUUCAUGCGAUUAGUAGAGGAACUUGUUAUCCUCCUUUUAGACCACCGUUGCCCUACUAG